rnacentral:rRNA from 1 species
UACGUAGGGGGCUAGCGUUGUCCGGAAUCAUUGGGCGUAAAGCGCGCGUAGGCGGCCCAGUAAGUCCGUUGUGAAAGUCAAAGGCUCAACCUUUGAAAGCCGAUGGAUACUGCUGGGCUAGAGUCCGGAAGAGGAGAGUGGAAUUCCUGGUGUAGCGGUGAAAUGCGCAGAUAUCAGGAAGAACACCCGUGGCGAAGGCGGCUCUCUGGGACGGUACUGACGCUGAGACGCGAAAGCGUGGGGAGCGAACAGG